rnacentral:rRNA from 1 species
AUUGAACGCUGGCGGUAGGCCUAACACAUGCAAGUCGAACGGCAGCACAGGAGAGCUUGCUCUCUGGGUGGCGAGUGGCGGACGGGUGAGGAAUACAUCGGAAUCUACCUUUUCGUGGGGGAUAACGUAGGGAAACUUACGCUAAUACCGCAUACGACCUACGGGUGAAAGUGGGGGACCGCAAGGCCUCACGCGAUUAGAUGAGCCGAUGUCCGAUUAGCUAGUUGGCGGGGUAAUGGCCCACCAAGGCGACGAUCGGGAGCUGGUCUGAGAGGAUGAUCAGCCACACUGGAACUGAGACACGGUCCAGACUCCUACGGGAGGCAGCAGUGGGGAAUAUUGGACAAUGGGCGCAAGCCUGAUCCAGCCAUACCGCGUGGGUGAAGAAGGCCUUCGGGUUGUAAAGCCCUUUUGUUGGGAAAGAAAUCCUGUCGAUUAAUACUCGGUGGGGAUGACGGUACCCAAAGAAUAAGCACCGGCUAACUUCGUGCCAGCAGCCGCCGCCGUAA